UACGAAGGGGGCUAGCGUUGCUCGGAAUCACUGGGCGUAAAGGGUGCGUAGGCGGGUCUUUAAGUCAGGGGUGAAAUCCUGGAGCUCAACUCCAGAACUGCCUUUGAUACUGAAGAUCUUGAGUUCGGGAGAGGUGAGUGGAACUGCGAGUGUAGAGGUGAAAUUCGUAGAUAUUCGCAAGAACACCAGUGGCGAAGGCGGCUCUCUGGACCACAACUGACGCUGAGGCGCGAAAGCUAGGGGAGCAAACAGG
rnacentral:rRNA from 1 species